AUUGUGGUUUGGGGGUCAGCACCCACCAGUGCCAGGGCACUACUGGGAGGCUGGGACCUGACCAAAGCCCAUGGUGUCUGUGGCCUGAGGACAGGGUGUCUUGGGGCCAUGAGGACAGGCCACCAAUGGCCGUUGGGUCAUAGGGCCUGAGCCCCAGUGUUUGUCCUUCCCUGGCUCCUUCUGGUUCAGUCCCAUCAGGGCUCUGGAUCCCAAGACGCAGCAUCCAAGGUUCCCUCCAGGAAUCCUGGUGGCUUGGCUUACUUUGUCAUGUUUCAUCUGAUAGCAAAAAUAUCAGAUCGGCUGCACAGAAAAAAUGGCUCAAAGUGCUUAAUGACCAGAAGAAAUCUAGGAGCAGCAAGAAGAGCAGGACAAACACGCCAGGUGGUGUCAGGAGCCUAGGUCUCCAGCUGGAGGGAACGUCAACCCUGCAGUGGGAGCCCAUCAUGCAUCCUAGGCACAGAUGCUAAUGUAGGCACCGCAG
rnacentral:lncRNA from 1 species